UCGUGCUAGACGGGGAGCUAGCGGUGCCCUGUACCCGCAAUCCGCUAUAGCGGGGUUGAAGUCCCGCUCGAGGUCCAGGGUCCGCGGAGACUGCUGUCAGCAUGUCAGCGUCGAGAGCCUGGCCCUGCGCGGCGAGACGCUGCGAACCCCGUCAGGCCCGGAAGGGAGCAGCGGUAAGUAGUUAGUUUCGGGCGCCGCAGAUAAACCGGGCUGGAGCUGACGGCUGGCGGCAAGUCUGCGGUCCGGAUCGACAGUGGGUGCACGG
rnacentral:SRP_RNA from 1 species